AGUUCUGACAGGACUCUCUAGAAGGAUGUUUUAGCAGCUACACCUGCUAAAUUUUAAUGAGAAAAGAUCCCACUAUUUACAUAUUUCAAAAUUAAGUUAAAAAAAGUCUCAGAUAUUAUACCAUCAAGGUGCUAAUAGAUGAAAAAAUGCAUUCCACUAAUCUGAGGAUCAACCUGAAGAACAUUAGGAUUAUUCAGAUAACAGAUUAUCUACAUUGAAUUAUGGAUCUUAAUUUUAAUUUCUUAUCUGAAAAUGCUGGGCUGAGGAAUUAAAAAAAAUUUUUUU